rnacentral:misc_RNA from 1 species
GCCCAACACUGGCACUGCCGUACACUCACCAACAACUACACGCAAGAUACAGUCCGGGGGGCGAAAAAACGCCGGCUGACUACUCAUGGUGUAAGCAAAGUAUGGAUGCGUAACUUAAAACGAUCCAAUCCACAACGGUAGCGACUUUUGUCUGGGUCAAACCUUUUGCCACAAGUUACACAAUAAACAUGGCGGGGAGGAGAACGCAUUCACGAACCCCGCAUGUUUCAGCCUGUGAAGCCAUAAAACUAACGAGAUAACACAACGGAAAGUAAAAAUGGCAACUAACGAAGUUCGCAAAAUGCCCACAACAGGUACGAUUUCUAAAAAACCUUCGUAAGGUAGACACGAAAGUUAUAUAACAAACCAAAAAGGUCGUGGCAUACUUUU